GACGAACGCUGGCGGCGUGCCUAAUACAUGCAAGUCGAACGCAGUGGGGACGGGUGAGUAACACGUGGGUAACCUCCCAUCAGAGGGGAUAACACUUGGAAACAGGUGCUAAACCGAUACUGAUGGCUGGACCCGCGGUGCAUUAGCUAGUAGGUGGGGUAACGGCUCACCUAGGCCACGAUCUAUAGCUGACCUGAGAGGGUGAUCAGCCACACUGGGACGUAGACACGGCCCAGACUCCUACGGGAGGCAGCAGUGGGGAAUAUUGAGCAAUGGGCGCAAGCCUGAGGGAGCCAGGCCGCGUGUAUGAAGAAGGCCUUCGGGUUGUAAAGUACUUUCAGCAGGGAGGCGUUACCCGCAGAAGAAGCACCGGCUAACUCCGUGCCAGCAGCCGCGGUAAUUC
rnacentral:rRNA from 1 species